UUUGAGCAUGUGCCCGUCAACUUUUCCUUUCCCACUUACUUUACGUGUUGAUGAUGAUGAACUUUUAAGUCUUUAGGUUUCAGAAUAUUCUAGUGGAAUCCUGCCUGGAAUUAACACUGAGUGGAGAUGAUGACUAUGGAAAUUUGCUGAACCUCCUUUUCUGGGAGAGAAUGAUCCAACUAUACACAGAAGAUGCUUCCCUCUUGCUAGAGGCUGCUGUGAGGACAAAAUGCCCUGAGCAGGACUGAGCCUCCCACUGACACCAGCAUCAACUUGCCAGUCGCGUGAGUGAACCCCGGGCAAGGCUCUUUAGUCCUCUGGCCCUCAUCAUGCCUCAGACUCUGCAGCCCCAAUAACUGACCAAAACAACAGGAGAGACCCCAGGUGAAAACCACCCACCCACCUCAGGAGACACCAGACCGAACUACCCACCAAGGUGCUCCCAAUAUUCUUGACAGAGAAAGUUUCAUUAUCUCUGGGUUACCCCAGUAUUCACAUCCUACCAAUCAAAUGUCUUCCAGCAGCAGUUUUCAGGAAGAAAACAUUAAAAGAAAGCAAAACACUCCUUAGUGCCUCCCUGUUCUCCUUCCACAACCCAGGAAAUUUGGAAAAGUCUGGACUUGUCCCAGCUGAGCUACCUGUACUACACAACACUGGGCUGAGGUCAGACUCUCCUGUCCUGGGUGUCCACUGCCUACACUCCUCCCAUCUUCCACCAGGCCUCUAGGCACAAGUUCCUCUCUUGUCCUAUUUCUAUGGGGCCCCGGGACACACAUGGCAACAUGGGGUCUGGGUG